AAGAGAGUUGAAUGAGAAGAAUGGGAGGCUUUCAGGAAAGCUGAGUUUCCUGAACCCUGCCCAGCUAGAGAUUAACGUCUGACCAUCAACAUAGGACACUGUGCAGAUGGCUACUUGCUGGCGCACAUGAAGACCAAAGCCAGGACACAAGCCCCAGCCCUGCUAAACACGGCAGAGACUCUGCCCCAGCCCACCUCCUGUGAGAAUCUGCUUCACUCCACAGCUGACCCCAGCAUCUUCAUGUGAGGACCAUGAAUGGACAUAGUUUCCAGGAUUUUUUGUGACCCAGGAAACCCGAACUCUCAUCAAAAAUGAAUAAAUAAAAGGAGGGAUGGGUAAGAAAAUGCUAAAAAUCUCCUUUUUGAAUCAUUAACAUUCACUUGAAAUUUGUCUCCACUAUUUCCUACUACCCUAGCAAACUCCAACCUGAAUAGCAUGGGUGAUGGCACUAAGCCCUAUAAUAGAAAAAGUGCCCUUAAGCUCUGUAUUAGUCCGUUCUCUCACUGCUAAUAAAGAUACACCUGAGGCUGGCUAAUUU
rnacentral:lncRNA from 1 species